rnacentral:rRNA from 1 species
ACGUAGGGUGCAAGCGUUGUCCGGAAUUAUUGGGCGUAAAGAGCUCGUAGGCGGUUUGUCACGUCUGCUGUGAAAAUCCAAGGCUCAACCUUGGACUUGCAGUGGGUACGGGCAGGCUAGAGUGCGGUAGGGGAGAUGGGAAUUCCUGGUGUAGCGGUGGAAUGCGCAGAUAUCAGGAGGAACACCAAUGGCGAAGGCACAUCUCUGGGCCGUAACUGACGCUGAGGAGCGAAAGCGUGGGGAGCAAACAGGAUUAGAUACCCUGGUAGUCCACGCCGUAAACGGUGGGUGCUAGCUGUGGGUCACAUUCCACGUGAUCCGUAACGAAGUUAACACAUUAAGCACCCCGCCUGGGGAGUACGGCCGCAAGGCUA